rnacentral:misc_RNA from 1 species
AUUCGAGUUGUUUGUUCUGUGGGUGAUCGCAAGGCAUUGACUCAUCCAGAGGUAACAGACCGGCAGCUGAAGAACAACGACGAUUUUGUUUGGCAAAUUGAAGUUCCAUUAACUGGGAAAUUCAUAAUUGAAGUGGAAUUUCUUGAUUUGAAGAUUGCAUCUCCAGACGGAGGAGAACCUUGUUCCAUCUGGGCUGAAGGAUCUGCAAAAAGGCAAUCAAAUGCAACAGCUCUUGCAACCCUUGGUCGAAUGUUGACAGAAAGCAUCCAUACAGACAUUACAAUUAAUGCUUCUGAUGGAAGCAUUGGAGCCCAUCGUGCUGUCCUUGCCGCAAGAUCACCUGUUUUCCGAAGCAUGUUUGCUCAUGACUUGAAAGAGAAGGAGCUGUCUACCAUAAACAUCUCUGAUAUGUCAAUUGAAGCUUGCCAGGC